rnacentral:rRNA from 1 species
GACGAACGCUGGCGGCGUGCUUAACACAUGCAAGUCGAACGAUGAAGCUGGAGCUUGCUCCGGUGGAUUAGUGGCGAACGGGUGAGUAACGCGUGAGCAAUCUGCCCUUCACUCUGGGAUAACUGCGGGAAACUGUAGCUAAUACCGGAUACGAGUCCUUGGGGCAUCCCAGGGUCUGGAAAGAAUUUCGGUGAAGGAUGAGCUCGCGGCCUAUCAGCUAGUUGGUGAGGUAAUGGCUCACCAAGGCGACGACGGGUAGCCGGCCUGAGAGGGUGACCGGCCACACUGGGACUGAGACACGGCCCAGACCCCUACGGGAGGCAGCAGUGGGGAAUAUUGCACAAUGGGCGAAAGCCUGAUGCAGCAACGCCGCGUGAGGGAUGAAGGCCUUCGGGUUGUAAACCUCUUUUAGUAGGGAAGAAGCGCAAGUGACGGUACCUACAGAAAAAGCACCGGCUAACUACGUGCCAGCCGCCGCCGUAA